rnacentral:rRNA from 1 species
UACGGAGGGUGCAAGCGUUAUCCGGAUUCACUGGGGUUAAAGGGUGCGUAGGCGGGUAGGUAAGUCCGUGGUGAAAUCUCUGAGCUUAACUCAGAAACUGCCGUGGAUACUAUUUGCCUUGAAUAUUGUGGAGGUGAGCGGAAUAUGUCAUGUAGCGGUGAAAUGCUUAGAUAUGACAUAGAACACCAAUUGCGAAGGCAGCUCACUACACAAUGAUUGACGCUGAGGCACGAAAGCGUGGGGAUCAAACAGG